GAAAUAGUUCAAUUGGUUAGAGCAUUCGGCUUAUAUCCGAAAAGUUGUGGGUUCAAGUCCUACUUUCC
rnacentral:tRNA from 1 species